GAAUUGAAGUUCGAUACAAUUCAUGUGUAGCUACGUGAACUGGUGCAUACCAGAACACACAAGUAGUUAAGUUGCAGCAAAGGUAUAUGCAUUCAAUGGACAAGCUGGUAUUUGUUUCAAACCAUCUUAUUGAGUUUGUUUCUAGCAUCUUUGUUUGGUCGGUGCUUCGGUGAAGUUUUUGACAUAGAUUAGAGAAAAAGAAAGAUAGGAGCGACUAGAUUAGAGAAAAAGAGAGCCAUACAGGUGGUUGAUCAGCUAGCAUUGCUUCUGAGAAUUAGCUAGGGAAUCAUGUGAGAUUCCUGGGUCCUGUUUUUCCAGCAACCCCUAUGUAAUUCGAUCUUUCGAUGUCGCUUCUUGCUAGAAUUAGCUAGGGAAUCAUUUUUACAUCUUGCUAGAAUUAAUACCCUGUUCUUAGCUUUAUCUUUCUCAAAUAUGGAGAUAUCCUUCACAAAUGACAAACCAAUCAUUCAUUAAUCGUCUGGGUCUUACUUUUGCAGAGAUGCCUCAAUUGUGUGGUGGCCAGCUAUGUGCUCAACACAAGGCACCUAAGUACAAUGAUCUGUUUUGACUGAAUGAGUUUUCUUCUCUUAAGUUAUUAUUUGUGGUACAUGAGUUCUGGAAUAAUUUUUCUUCCUAAGUAGUAAAUUAUGCAUACAGCAAUCAAAAUCUACAAAUUCUUUUGCCUUUUCUGAUUGCAGUAGUUAACUAGUUAUAGGUCAGUUUUGGUUCUCAUGUUCCUCGAAUCCUAAUAUCUGCAUUUCUCUUUUAGAUCAUGUGCUGGAAAUGGAUAUAAUCAUUGGCUUACUGAAUAUGAGAAGGAUGAAGUUGUUUACUGAAUACCGAGUAAUGCAAGAGAUUUGUUGUGAUUGUAUACUUCACUAUUUUGAGAAUUCUAGAUAAAGAUCCUGCAGAAUAUAGAUGCUGGUUUCCCUGGUAAUGCUCUUCUGGCCUUCAGGCAGUUGCAGAUGCUGCUACCGCUAUUAAAACAAGGCUCUAUGAUAUCGGUAAGAGUUCAUUCUGUCUGAUUUUAAGUGAUUUUAUUUUGGAUUUGUUGGUGAAUUGAGUUUUAUUCUCUCGAUUCAAAGUAUUGUUGCUGGCCUGCAAUCCAUGACAGUGAACCAAGAUUGUCUUGAUGGAAUCCAUGAUAGAUAUUGUAAGCCUACAGCAAGGCGCCAUUUUUAGAUGCAUGUGCAAACACCUUUGUGUUUAGGUUGACCUAUUUUCUCAAGCACGUAAUUGCCUUUUCCCAAUAGGCCUCACAUCUGAGAACGUUGCACACUGAUUCGGCAUAGCAUGACUGUAACAAGAUCAGGCUGCUAUUGAGUCUCGAAGAAAGGCUGCUGCCGGUAAAUUCAAAGAAGAAAUUGUGCUUGCUCACACAAAGUCAUCACCUUAUGAAGAUUGUGGAUCCAAAAAUUUAUGAGGAAAAGGAAAUCAUUGUCUCAGAAUAUGAUAGAAUCUGAUCUGGUACUUCACUGGCAGUCCUUUCACCUCAAACCAUCAUUUUUGAAGGAUGGCAGCAGCUUGGCGCACAAGCUGUUCUACUACCUCAAGGGACUACGGCGAGGACCACAACAAGGCUUGCGGACGUACAUGGUUUAGGAGAAUCUAUUGCAUAGGCACUAUCCAGUGUGUAGCGAGCAGAACCUGGUGCACUUUAUUGGGCCCUCAGCGGACGCACAGGUUGUAAGGGUGCUGCAUCAGAUGCUGGCCGACAAGCGUGAUGCAGCUUCAGAUGGUUAGCGUCGCCUCCGUGCUAGAGGCUAUGGGCUAAGGUGUGGGGUCCUAGACAUUAUAUGUAAUAACCAUAUCAUUUUUUUCUCGUUGAAUUCGAAUGGUUGAUUCUCUAGACAGUAUGUACUUGUGUUUCUGGAGAUUACACUCUGUGGAAAAUAUUUCUGAAGCUAAACAUGUAACUGCAUUAUGUGAUGUUGUCUCAAAAAAAUUACAUUCUGUUAUGUUACUAUCUGUUAGCACUAUUAUCAACCAAAGUUGAUAGUUCUAUUGAAAUGAGAAGGGUGCAUGUGCAAGUCGGUAGCAAACGCAUGGGCAUUAACAUUAACAUUUGCACUUCUACCUCGACUUGUACACGCCAUCCUCGCCACCAGCACCUUGUCCUGGUCAGUAGCACCUGUGGUCCUGGGCGUCAUUAUCCUUGCCACUGGCUGUAUCGAAGCGCGCCGGUUCCCCAAACUCUGAACCCUCAUCUCUCAACCCCAUAGUGUAGGUCGGAUUGCUUGUUUGGUUUAAUUCGGGUGUGUGUAGUGCACCCAAAAGACGAUCCGCGGAGUCAUGUCUUCUUUCUUUCUCCCUCGCCUGGGGAAUUUUCUGGUCUUGUUUCGUUGUUUGUGCUUCAUGUUGGGUAUUGAUGAAUUUUGAUGCGACCACGACGUGCGACCAAGACGCCGGACGCGACCACGGCGAUGCCGCUGGCCCCAAUGGAUCAACGUCUUCCGCUUGGAGUUCAUGAAAGGUCGUAGGAGUUCAUAAAGACGGUGAGUGCCACAACAUUCUGUUUGCAAAUUUCUAAUCAAAAAAUGUACUUGUGAACUCUUCCGCAGAUGAUGAACUAAGAAACAUAAGGCGACACAAAGAUAGAGAUCGCUAUGCAAAGAUGCCAUUAGAUAAGAAGGCAGAACUUGAUGCAAGGAAAGGGAAAACUAUCAUCGAAGGAAGGUGUAGAAGCAAUCAGGACAUUCAUUUGUUUGUUCAAAUUUACAUGUAUGGUCAAAUUGACGUGCAUGUACAUGGUUUGUUAAAACACACUACACCCCAAUUGAAUGUGGGACUAGAAAUUGUUCUCAAAUUA